rnacentral:rRNA from 1 species
UUUCGCAAUGCCCGAAAGGGUGACGAAGCGACGCCGCGUGUGGGAAGAAGGCCUUCGGGUUGUAAACCACUGUCGGGAGUUAAGAAAUGCAAGGGUGCUUAUAGUAUCCUUGCUUGACUAAGGCUCCGGAGGAAGCCACGGCUAACUCUGUGCCAGCAGCCGCGGUAAUACAGAGGCGGCAAGCGUUGUUCGGAAUUAUUGGGCGUAAAGAGCACGUAGGCGGCUAUGUAAGUCGGUUGUGAAAGCCUUCCGCUCAACGGAAGAACAGCAUCCGAUACUGCAUGGCUUGAGUGCGGGAGGGGAGAGUGGAACUUCUGGUGGAGCGGUGAAAUGCGUAGAUAUCAGAAGGAACGCCGGCGGCGAAAGCGGCUCUCUGGCCAUAACUGACGCUGAGUGUGCGAAAGCUAGGGGAGCAAACGGGAUUAGAUACCCCGGUAGUCCUAGCCGUAAACGAUGGGCACUAAGUAGAGGGGUUUU